GACGAACGCUGGCGGCGUGCUUAACACAUGCAAGUCGAACGGAAAGGCCCUGCUUUUGUGGGGUGCUCGAGUGGCGAACGGGUGAGUAACACGUGAGUAACCUGCCCUUGACUUUGGGAUAACUUCAGGAAACUGGGGCUAAUACCGGAUAGGAGCUCCUGCUGCAUGGUGGGGGUUGGAAAGUUUCGGCGGUUGGGGAUGGACUCGCGGCUUAUCAGCUUGUUGGUGGGGUAGUGGCUUACCAAGGCUUUGACGGGUAGCCGGCCUGAGAGGGGGACCGGCCACAUUGGGACGGCGAUACGGCCCAGACUCGUACGGGAGGCAGCAGUGGAGAAUAUUGCACAAUGAGCGGAAGCCUGAUGCAGCAACGCCGCGUGCGGGAAGACGGCCUUCGGGUUGUAAACCGCUUUCGCCUGUGACGAAGCGUGAGUGACGGUAAUGGGUAAAGAAGCACCGGCUAACUACGUG
rnacentral:rRNA from 1 species